rnacentral:rRNA from 1 species
AGAGUUUGAUCCUGGCUCAGGAUGAACGCUAGCGGCAGGCUUAACACAUGCAAGUCGAGGGGCAGCGGGGAGGAAGCUUGCUUUCUCCGCCGGCGACCGGCGCACGGGUGAGUAACGCGUAUCCAACCUGCCCGUCACCACGGGAUAGCCUGCCGAAAGGCAGAUUAAUACCGUAUGCGGUCCGAAGACGGCAUCAGAUUCGGACUAAAGGUUCAGCGGUGACGGAUGGGGAUGCGUCCGAUUAGGUAGUAGGCGGGGUAACGGCCCACCUAGCCAUCGAUCGGUAGGGGUUCUGAGAGGAAGGUCCCCCACACUGGUACUGAGACACGGACCAGACUCCUACGGGAGGCAGCAGUGAGGAAUAUUGGUCAAUGGUCGGGAGACUGAACCAGCCAAGCCGCGUGAGGGAGGAAGGUACAGAGUAUCGUAAACCUCUUUUGUCAGGGAACAAAGGCGGGGACGUGUCCCCGGAUGAGUGUACCUGAAGAAAAAGCAUCGGCUAACUCCGUGCCAGCAGCCGCGGUAAUACGGAGGAUGCGAGCGUUAUCCGGAUCUAUUGGGUUUAAAGGGUGCGCAGGCGGUCUGUUAAGUCAGCGGUCAAAGCCCGGGGCUCAACCCCGGCCCGCCGUUGAAACUGGCAGUCUCGAGUUGGAGAGAAGUAUGCGGAAUGCGCGGUGUAGCGGUGAAAUGCAUAGAUAUCGCGCAGAACUCCGAUUGCGAAGGCAGCAUGCCGGCUCCACACUGACGCUGAGGCACGAAAGCGUGGGUAUCGAACAGGAUUAGAUACCCUGGUAGUCCACGCAGUAAACGAUGAAUGCUGGCUGUCCGGGGGGAUUGACCCCUGGGUGGCGAAGCGAAAGCGAUAAGCAUUCCACCUGGGGAGUACGCCGGCAACGGUGAAACUCAAAGGAAUUGACGGGGGCCCGCACAAGCGGAGGAACAUGUGGUUUAAUUCGAUGAUACGCGAGGAACCUUACCCGGGCUCAAACGGGGAGUGACUCAGGCAGAGACGCCUGUUUCCCACGGGACACUCCCCGAGGUGCUGCAUGGUUGUCGUCAGCUCGUGCCGUGAGGUGUCGGCUUAAGUGCCAUAACGAGCGCAACCCCCGCGUGCAGUUGCUAACAGAUAACGCUGAGGACUCUGCACGGACUGCCGGCGCAAGCCGCGAGGAAGGCGGGGAUGACGUCAGAUCAGCACGGCCCUUACGUCCGGGGCGACACACGUGUUACAAUGGGUGGUACAGCGGGAAGCCAGGCGGCGACGCCGAGCGGAACCCGAAAUCCACUCUCAGUUCGGAUCGGAGUCUGCAACCCGACUCCGUGAAGCUGGAUUCGCUAGUAAUCGCGCAUCAGCCAUGGCGCGGUGAAUACGUAACCGGGCCUUGCACACACCGCCCGUCA